rnacentral:rRNA from 1 species
AAAGGAAUUGACGGGGGCCCGCACAAGCGGUGGAGCAUGUGGUUUAAUUCGACGCAACGCGAAGAACCUUACCAGGUCUUGACAUCCCCUGACGGCCCAAGAAAUUGGGAGUUUGGUUUUCGGACUGACAGGGAGACAGGUGGUGCAUGGUUGUCGUCAGCUCGUGUCGUGAGAUGUUGGGUUAAGUCCCGCAACGAGCGCAACCCUUAUCUUUAGUUGCCAGCACAUAAGGUGGGCACUCUAAAGAGACUGCCGGUGACAAACCGGAGGAAGGUGGGGAUGACGUCAAAUCAUCAUGCCCUUUAUGGCCUGGGCUACACACGUGCUACAAUGGUCUGUACAGAGGGUAGCGAAGCUGUGAAGCGGAGCCAAUCCCAAAAAGCAGAUCUCAGUUCGGAUUGCAGGCUGCAACUCGCCUGCAUGAAGUCGGAAUCGCUAGUAAUCGCGGAUCAGCAUGCCGCGGUGAAUACGUUCCCGGGCCUUGUACACACCGCCCGU